GAGAAUUUGACCUUGUUCCCUGAAGUUUGUGAGCAUAGAGUAUGAAGUCUGUUCCUUGUCUAGACAUGGGAUUGGCUGGAGCUGUGCCUUAGAGCAAAGAGGAGAGCCAAGCUUGUAGUGGGAGUAAGCCACAAUUCUACAGUAAUCAGGGUUUGAAGAAGAGGAAAGAGUGAAGUUUGGAUAUUAAAGAAGGCUGAACCUGUAUAGUAUC
rnacentral:lncRNA from 1 species